rnacentral:lncRNA from 1 species
AAAAAAAAAAGAAGAAGGGAAGAAACAUAAUAGUAGAAACGAAACAGAGAGGGAAGGAAGGAAAGAAAGAAAAGAAAGAAAAAAAGGAAAAAUUUAAGGUUUGAAGCUUGAAGUUUAAUUUGGUAAGUCAAUUAAGUCAUUUCCUCUUAAAUUUGAUGUUUUAGAAGCUUUAAAACAAGGUUUUAUUAAAAUUAAGUUGAUAUUUUGAGAGUUUAUAGAUUUUCAAGUAUAGUUCAUGUUGAAUAAAAUAGUGAAUUAAGGGUUUAAUUGAGUGAAUUUCAAGCUAGAAUUGAUAAUAGGAUCAAAUUGUAAAGUAAGUUAUAAGUUUUAUGUUGUAGGGACUAAAUUGAUGAAAUUUUGAAAUUAGGAAAAUAUGCUGGAAAUUUAAUAUUUAAAUGAGAGUAUGGAUGAAAAUUGAAUAGAAAUAGAAUGUGAAUUGAAUUAGAAACGUAAGUGAAAAUUAGUUAAGAUUAAAUUGAAAUUAAAGUAGAAAAUUGAAUAGAAAAUUCAAUUAAUUAGAUAUAAAUUAGUAGUGAAUUAAUGAAUAUGAAUUGUUUUAAUUUCCGUAGCUAACGUUGUCUCGAGAAGUUUCGGCUAACUAAGGAAAUAGCAAAGUCGACGAGGAAAAGCUUGGAAAAGCUUGGAAAAUACGGUUUGUAUUUCUAUAAUCCGAACUCAGUCAUUAUUUGUUAUAUUUAUAUACAUAUGACAAUUGUUGGUGUUAGAAUUAAGAUGUUUUACAAUUGAAAUGGAUUGAUUUUGGUAUGUGAUGAAUUUAUCAAAUUUAUAUUGAUUGAAAUCAUUUUGAUUGAAUUUAUAUUGAUUGAAAUUAUAAUAUAUAUAUAUGAUCUAUGUAAAAAUUUGAAUAUUGAAUGAAUGUUAUAUUGAAAAAUUAUAUUGAUUGGAAAUAUGAGGGAAUUGAUAUGAAUAUAUGAGAUUUGUGAUAAUUGAAUAUUUGAUAUUGAAAAGUGAAUUGAGUUGUAUUGAAUUAUGAAUUAAUGUGAAUAAUUGAAAUAUAUUUGUUGAAUUGAAUGAAAAUGUAUGAAAUUGUGAAAAUGUGUGAAUAUAUGUGAUUAUUAGAAUGGUAUAUUGAUGAAAGAUUUAUUAAAUUGAGAAAGUGAAUCAAAUACCCUAUUAACAGUAUUGGACCAGAUUGGAUACAAAUGGCAUGCCAUUGGGUUUGUGAUGUGAUGAGGAGAUUUGUAGUUCGGACAAGAAGAUGUUUCUAUUAUUAUAUACUUCGGUUUAUCCGAAGAGGCAUUUAAUGCCUUAUUGGUGUGAUUGGAAGGAUAUGAUAUACUGGUGUGUUAUGGAAGAUUUAUAAUAUUCCGGGUGUGUUUGGGUUGGAUAUUCUGGUGUGUUUGGGAGGAAUCCGCGUAUCUAUCAGAGUCCGAGUCUUGUUAAUAGGGGUAAAUAAGUGAAAAGAUAAAUCGAGUGAAUUUGAUUGACUAAGCUAUUGGAAUGAAAUGAGAAAUUGAAUUGAGAAUUAAAAUUGAGAUAUGAGAUUGAAAACAUGAACCAAAAGGUUCAUGAAAUGAGUGAAGUUCAAAUGGAUGAUGAUUGAUGUUAGAAUGAAUUAAAUGGUAUAUUGUUAAGAAGUAAAGUGUGAAUACAAGUGAAUUGUGAAUAUAUUGUAUAGAAAUUAUACGGUAAGUAAAUGAAAAGAAUUGAACAAAUAUGUUAUUGUGUUUAUUAUAUGACUUGUAUAUAAUUUUUAUGGUAAGUAAAUAAAAUUUAUCUAUAAAAUAAAUAAAUGAAUACUUAUAAUUGUUAUUGUGAUUUUAAGUUUAAUUGUUAUAUUAUUAAGUGUUCGGAUUAUGGAAAUACCACUGAGUAUUCCAUACUCAGCGUACGGUUUGUUUCCGUGCGCAGGUUAAGUAAAGAUAGAACGUUGAAUCAGCAUCCCAGGCCGAUCCCAAAUUCAAUGAGGUAAAGUGUGUUAAUUAUGGGUAAUGGCAUGUACCUAGGAUGUCUUAUGUGCAUGUCAUUUUGAAAUUGUAAAUGUAAGGAUGAAAUAAAUAAAUUUAAGGUUUGGUUAUGGUAUAAAAUAGGAUUUGAAUAAUUUGGUAUGAAUUUGAAUUUUUAUGAGACAAUGUCAGAUUGAUUUCGGAAUUCCCUAUUCUGAAUUGGGAAAAUCAUUAAAAAUUGUAUAAAAAUAAUUAUGGGCUAUAAUUUAUAUUCUUAGAAUCCUUAAUGAGUCUAUUUUCAAGAUAAAUAAACGGGAACAUCACCCGAGUCUUGUGCUAUGAGAUAAUUAAAUUUUAGUAAAGAAAGGUCGAAGCUGUCAAAUAGCAGACCAGGGGUAACUUUGAGGAAUAAACUGUACUAAUUGGCUAAACCAAAAAUUCUGAAAAUUUUAUGAUAGAAAGGUAUAUGAGUCUAGUUUCAAGGAAAAUUAACGGAACUUAAUUUGGAGCUUCGUAGAUCCAGAUAUAAAUAUUUUAGUGACUGUUGCUCAAGAAGACAACUUUGACAUGAACAUAAGAAAAUAAUGGAAUUGUGUGUAAUUAUUCUGUAAACUCCGGUAAUGCUCCAUAACUCUCUUCCGGUGAUGGUUUAGGGUUAGGGGGUGUUACAUGCAAAGCUAAUAAUGAAAGUGAAAGCAUAUAAUUGCAAACAUCAAA